AUGGCUAUGUAUAGAAAUGUUUAUAGACUCCCUCCAGCCUCAGCCACGCAGCAUGGGGUGAACCUCAGUGCCCCAACACCUCCUUUCCAGCAGGCCGGUGGUUAUGGCCAGCAUGGCUACAGUACAGGUUAUGAUGACUUGACCCAAGGGACAGCAGCAGGAGACUACACCAAAGGUGGCUAUGGUGGACCAUCGCAGGCACCAAAGAAGUCUGCACGUUCUGGACCUGGCAAAGGAGUAUCGGUGUCUUCAAGCACCACCGGUCUACCUGAUAUGACUGGUUCUGUCUACAAUAAGACCCAGACUUUUGACAAGCAGGGAUUUCAUGCAGGAACCCCUCCACCUUUCAGCCUGCCCUCCGCCUUGGGUUCCACUGUGCCCCUGGCCCCUGGAGCGGCCCCUGGCUAUGCACCCCCACCAUUCCUGCACAUCUUACCAGCCCACCAGAAGCCCCACUCACUGCUGCUGCACCAUCAUCUUCCGCAGGAUGUGCAGAGUGGCUCGGUUCAGCCCAGCCAGCCCAGUUCCCUGCAGCCCAAGUCUCAAGCCUCCAAACCCGCCUACGGCAACUCUCCAUACUGGACAAACUAAACCCAAAGAGAGGGAUGGGUUGGGGCAAGGCUUACCCUGGGCAGGAGAGAACACAUGAGCACAUAUAUGGGAGCCCAGUGCCCUUUUCUAGAAUUCCCAAGACUAACUGUGUCAGCCGUGCCUCUGUGGGGAGCCUGCCUCCCAGACUGGCUAUUGUAUGUAAUGUAUUUAUGUAUGUAUUUGUAAAUGUGAUAGAAGUCCAGGGCAGUGGAGGGGAUGGCUGCAGAUGUUAGCCAGGUCUGCUCUCCCCAUUCAAGCCCCUUUUCUGCUGUAGCAAAAUAAGCCUCUCCACCCCAUCUGCCUUCAGGCCUUCUUCAUAGCUGCUGCUGCCCAGUGGGCCAUUAGGGGCAGUCUCUGGAAGGCUGGUUCAAGGCCAUUUAGGUAUAGGGGUCAGGUACCAAUGAAGAAUCACGACUUAUCUCACUCCUUUGGAAACUAUUAUUUUAGUUUUCUUUCCUGUGUAAUUCAUACCUCUAUUUCUGAGAAACUGUUCCUUUUGUCAUCUGUCAUGGUCCCCUUCCACCAAAUCUUGGGAAUAGUAGCGAUAUCUCUCCACCCAACACAAAUAUGGGCACCUGUUUUUCUUCAUAUAUAACAGGGGCUUCUGGUCUGGUCAUAUCCCUAGAGACUUACUAGAGACUGGCUGACCAUUUAAAAAAACAAUAAUCAUCUGAGUUGUUCAGCCAUUCAGCUCCCCUUUAAAAAUCAAAGAUAUCUCCAAGCAAUGCAUCUCUCUUCCAGUUGUCCUGAACCAGGUGGGCAGCUGUUUCAGGGGUUUUCUCUUGCCCAAUCCCCACCUAAUAAAGUUCUGAGAGCAAAAAA